ACGCUCGACACCUACGGGAGGUAGCAGUGGGGAAUAUUGCACAAUGGGGGAAACCCUGAUGCAGCGACGCCGCGUGAGUGAAGAAGUAUUUCGGUAUGUAAAGCUCUAUCAGCAGGGAAGAAGAUGACGGUACCUGAGUAAGAAGCCCCGGCUAACUACGUGCAAGCAGCCGCGGUAAUCUGAGCGGGCUGGCAAGGC
rnacentral:rRNA from 1 species